AAUAAACUUACAGGAACAAUUGGUUGAAGAGGACCCUGCUCAAUCGAGCUUACAUUCUACAGGAGGUGGGGUGUAAAACACAUUAAGACAGGAAUUUGCAAUCAAAUAAGGUUGGCUGCCCUUUAGGAGAGGGCAAGAGACGGGUAUGUGAGGUAGGGGUUAGUCUUGGAGGCCAUAAGCUUUCCUAAAGAGAUGGGUUUUAAGGCACUUCUUAAAAGAUGCAAGACUAGGGGAGAGUCGGAUGGCGGUAGGCAGGCUAUUCCAUAGGAAGGGAGCCGCCCGCGAGAAGUCCUGCAAGCGCGAGUUGGCCGUACGGGUGCGGACAACGGACAGGAGGUGGUCACGGGCAGAGCGGAG